UACGUAGGGGGCAAGCGAUACUCGGAAUCACUGGGCGUAAAGCGCAGGUAGGCGGUUUAGUAAGUCUUUUGUGAAAGCUCCCGGCUUAACUGGGAGAGGUCAAAGGAAACUACUAGGCUAGAGUUUGGUAGGGGAUACUGGAAUUCCUGGUGUAGCGGUGAAAUGCGUAGAUAUCAGGAGGAAUACCUAUGGCGAAAGCAGGUAUCUGGGCCACAACUGACGCUGAGCUGCGAAAGCUAGGGGAGCAAACAGG
rnacentral:rRNA from 1 species